UAGCCCGGUCACAACAGUUCAGGGUGUGCCAAAAGCUCAGCCGUCAGAGGAACCAGACGUUAAUGCAGAAUUUUAAGAAUCAAAAUUCAUGCAGAAAAUCCACCAUGAGUAAAUUCCCAAUGUUACAAAUAAAGGCAGGAUCCAGAACAGUGCAUUGCUCAGCUGUAUCAGAGCCGAAGGCAAAAGGAAAUAUCAGUCAUGUACUGAUUCCCUGUCUUUAUUUAAAAUUUUGGUGUUUCGUUCAUCACAAGGUUUUUGUAUUUUGGUUUUUUUAAUGUUGCAUUGGAAUAUGAUUUCUCUUGGGACGCCUGGGUGGCGCAGUCAGUUGAGCAUUCGACUUCGGCUUAGGUCACGAUCUCACGGUUUCUGAGUUCGAGCCCCGCGUUGCGCACCACGCUUAACAGCGUGCUCACCCGCCUUACCCCAUCCCAACCCUGAUCCUUGUGCUGGGAACUCACAGGACCCAGCCCCCUAGCCGCCCUCCCACACUUUCAAGAUUCACCUUCCCGGGUGGUGAGGGGAGACCGGGUUUGUUAGGAAUCUGUUCCUGGGUCAGCGGGCACUCAGCCUGUCCCUCUCUCGACAUCUUGCCAGCCCGCCUCUGGCCUCUGCUGCAGGUUACUGCCCUGACGUGCACCAUCGCUGCCCAUGUGCUACUGUGCGGGGCCCAGUCUUACUUCUGGUCUUGGGGAGAGAGGAUGGGGCCACAGUAAUUACUGCGCUGUCAGGAAACAACUUUAAAUCGGUAGUUUCUAGUCCUUGCCAGAGGCAGCCUGCCUCAGGCCCUGGCAGGAACUGCCAACAUAAGACAGUAUUGGGGGGGGUCCUUUUUCCCAGGACCCCAAACUCCUUCUCAAGGUCUCACAGAUAAGGCCAAAGUCCUUCUCUUUUCCAUGACGCACAGUUGGGCUCGCCUUUGCCAAACCUCUUCCUCUAGGUCAUGCCCGUGGGGCAGACGCCUUUCUCAGUGAGCAGACGCACGGAGGAAGGCUCUCCAAAUACCAGAAGUUUUUUCCCUCUGUGUGCGGUUCUGCUAAGGGGCCGACUUUCCCAGUAGCCUUUUUCCCCCACCCCACGUCAUAUGUGGGAUUCGGUCGCCUGUGCAAGGUCCGGAUCACCUGUUGCUUUCAUCCCUGUCCUCGGCGCUGAGCGCUGGGCCUGGCAUGGGGCAAACGCUGGGCGGGGAUGCUCGAAGCUGCCGCAGCCACCUAAGUUUCUGGUUCCAGAGCCCCAGGGGCUUCUGGGAAGCAUCUGGUUCCACCCCCUCUUCCCUGAGUAUUGCCAAGACCCCUCCCCAAAAGGUGCUUAGCUCCUGAUUCCACAGCACAAGCCCAAAGCCCCUGAGUGUAUAUAGGUGAGGAGAGAAGUGUUUGAAUCCCAGUUCCCCGGUGCUCCCUGGUGAGCACAGGCCCCUGUGUAUGUGCCAGGCCUGUUUCUCCCUCUGCAGAGUGAGGGUCAUACAUAUGAGCUAUUCCACACUAAGCACUUAGAAGAGGGUCUGGCACAUGCUAAGGACUCAGUGGCCAUCAGCCACUCUUACUACCUCCUGGCCUGGGGGGCGUUUACUCUUCGGGGUGGAGAAGGCAGACAGAGCAGUCAUGGUCAUCUCAGUGUGCCCGAGACACUGGGCAGAGGACGUUCUCAGACUCACUCUAGGCUGCCCCGGACCCUUUCAUUCCCAAAGCACUGGAGGGAUUGGGAAGCCCCUGGAAAAAGAUCCCUUUGCUCCAAAGAGGAAGAAACUUAAGUGUUUGUUUGUUUGUUUGUUUGAAGUUUAUUUAUUUAUUUUGAGAGAGAGUGUGCGCGCACACACAAGCGGGGGAAGGGCAGAGAAAGAGGGAGACAGAAGCCCAGAAUCCGGACGCGGGGCUCAAACCCACAAACCCUGAGAUCAUGACCUGAGCCAAAAUCAAAAGUCAGACGCCCCAAGAAACUUAAGUUUUUAAGUGUAAAUGACCUUGAAGGCUGGAACAGUGGGAGUCAGGAGGGCGCACCCAUCCCUGGCUUCAGAGGCAACCCCCCAAACUUCCCCUGACCCAGGCGGGGCCUGGAAUGGAGUGUGUCUGGUGAUAGUGAUGUAAAGAGGCAGGAAGACUGCCUUCUUAAGCUUGCAUAAAACUUGAGCUUUAGAGCAUUUGUUUGUUUGUUUGUUUCCAGAGAAGAAGCCUUUGUGGAUCUAGCAUGCCUUUUCAAAGCAUGCCUCACACCCCGUUUGGAAGAAGGCCCCCAGGGAGGGCUGGGUUCAUACAGAAUACUUCACAGUAGGAGGGAAGAAGCAACACUCCCCGUGGGUCCUCCAGGCCCCUAAGAAUUCUUCCCUUCCAGGAUGACGGCUCGCUUGAGCCCUGGAGACCAGCCCUGGCUGUUAGACCUGCCCCAAAUUCCACCCCCGUCCCUAUCCUCCUGCCCCCAUCCUUUACUGGCUUGAAAGAUCCUAUCGGAGUCCAGAGCCUCCACGUGGGCCCCCAAAGGAACGGCUGGGACUCAGCCAGCCAGCCAGCACCAUCGCCUCCCAGGCAGUAAGCAAGACCCCAAGACACAGGCUGACAUAAGUUUUACAAAAUUCUCUGGAGCCAGCUGGCCUUACCUACUACAGAACCAAAUGCCAGGAAACUCUGGCUGGCCCGCCAAGUCCCCCGGACUGAGGGAUAGAGGACUUGUUGACAUGUGCCUUUGUCCUUCAUGGCUCGGCUCCCCCACCGCCCCGCCCCACAGCGCACCCUGGCGGAGCACAGCCAGCUGGGUGCCCUGGGCUCCUAGCACAAGGCUGGGAAAACCAGCCCCAGCUGGUCAGUGGUUUUCUGCAGGGCCCGUUUUCCACACACUGCUGGGAAUACCCGCAACGGUCCUGGAUCCAUGUGCCAGGAGGUGGGCCGGAGGCAGCCAUGCCCUGACCCGCUCCUUGGCAAAAAAGAAGGAGGGGUCUAGCCUUCCAACCACAGGCCAUAAUUCAUUUCUCAGGGCAAAACCGCCCUCUCGCAGGGCUGCACUCUGCUUUCCCCCCUUCUUGCUGAAGGGGGCGCCAUCACAACAUCGAUACCCCAAAUCAUCUCAGGCCCCAUGCUUCCAGCAGUGACACAACCAACCCGUCGUCGGGGUCCCUCCCAUGCAACAACCCCGAGCAACGGAGAAGAAAGUAAACUGUUCAUCAGAGGCUCCGGGGCAAUGGCCGGAGAGAUUCCGGCAUAUCCACGGCGAAAUGUCCCCUCCCCGUCCUCCCCCAGCCCCCACACCCCAGGGCAGCCUUAGGCCUCCCCUUCCUCCUCUCCGUGCACCCUGUAGACCUCUCGUCCCACCUUAGGCGAUCUCGUCUGUCUGUCUUUGCUUCUCUCACCCCUUGUCAUGUGCAGGCACGUGCUUUCUAGGGAUGCAAAGACCUAAACACCUCAACUCUGGAAACUCACUGAAGGUCAAACAUUUACUCAGCCAUUAAAAUUCCCUGUGUUAGAGUCAUUUACAUUCAUACUUGCAAGGAACACGGAACGAGGCCGGUAGACAGCGUUUUAUGGCUUUUCUCCAUCAACUCAAGUAGGCAAAAAGGAAGCACGGCUGCCAGAGAGAGCUAUUCCCUCUGGUCCUUCUCACUCCACCAAAGAAAACAAAGAACAGAAACACCUGUGCCACUUCACGGAGUUUUGGGAGCCCCAGCAUCAGUGGGGAGGGGAGCACCCCUGCACGGAACGUGUCCAUGGCCUGGAUCGUCAACGUCCUGCAUUUCUGUGAGUUUUGACUGGAGCUGAGGUCAGUGCGGGACAAGGGAAAUGUGCUUCAAGGCUGACUGCCUGGAAGGUCUUUUCCAUUUUGGAGUGUCGACCGCGGGUCAGCCAGUCUCAGGGAAUAAGCUGUAAGUGGAGGAACCCCCCACAUUGGUCAAGAAAAAAGCAAGGACAAAGACCAAGGUCACCAGUGUAUCCGGGGCUUGGAAGGACUUUGAAACAUAGCGACAGAAAAAUCCUUUGACUCAUAACAAAAUGGAAGCUGGAAGUCAGUUGCAUAAGGAAAACUUGGAAAAACAGGACGAAAAGGAAUAACAAGUCUAAGACGUUCAUAACCCUAUCAGCCAAAGAUGACCAUCCACAGCUUAACAUGGCCCUACACUACCUUUGUCUUUCCAGCAAUGGGUGCCUAAUUGACUGUCUCUCAUCAGUCGGGGAGAAAAAGGGAAGAAUGUAGCAGAGAAAUCCAGAACGUUAGCACCUGAUGUACGUCACCUCUGAGUGGAAGGGGAUGCGGAAACCAGGGUUGCCCGAGGUCAGGGGCUGGGUGAGGGGGAGGGAUGGGACGGAGCCCUGACUUUCAGCCGCUCACCGGGUCAUCAUUCUGUGUGAGCAAAAGAGGAUACUUAGUCAUUAGGGAGUAAGAAGACACCCAAAAGGGGAGCCCGAGGAACCCGACCUUGACCUUGCUCUUUUUUUUUGUCUGAGUCACACUUCCUCUCUUAGGAGGAGCUGAACGGUUGACUUCCAGCCCAUGGUGCCUGCCCUCUGUGGCAGUGACCGCGCAGAGCAGGGCCGCGAGGGCGUCACCCAAGGGCCUGUUUUUCCUGAAUGCUCUCACCACCUUGACAUCCCGGCAAUGCCCUUUACUGCACUUGUGUCCUGCUGAGAGUGUGGGUGAGGCCUGGGCUGUGCUUCACCGAAAUGGUGCUCUCCUACCUGCUCCAGAAUGUGGGCCAGCACCAUCCAUGUGUCCCGGGGGCCCCGGGCAGGCGGGGGAGCAGGGGCCGGCGUGGCACCUGGGAGGUGACACUGCGUCUCCGCCUGGCAUCCUCCCUCCUCCUCGCGUUGAGGGCAGGCCCCUGAUGGCUGGGACUUCUCCUCGGCUUCCAUUCAUCUGUCUGUUUCUGCUCCCAGAAGUAAAACCAGGGGGAAGGCUUGAAGCAGAGAGGAUCUCCUUAUUACUGAUAACAAACCCGAAACAGAAGUGAUCAAUACCCCACACUUCAGCAGCUCACAGGGAGACCCUGGGUAAUGCCAGACAAAACAGCAAAGAUCUAAUUACACUGACAGAAAUAACUUACAUGGUCACAUACCUUCUACCUGUCCGUCUCCAAACUAAGUGGCCCUUUCACUUCAUGCAACAGUGAAAUAAAAUAAUUUGGGGCUGACAUUUCAAUAGGUCCGAGGUCCUGAAUACGGCUGAGCAACUCCCCCAUGCUUUUCUGGGCCACAAUUUCCCCAGUAGGAAAUGAAGGUUAAUCAUUUUCGCUUUAACUCCCAUACUCCAUCAUCCCUGCUUCUCAGAGAUGUAGUGACAAGAGAUAGUUGCAGUGUUUUCCAAACUUGCCCGAUGCCAAGAAUCACCUGGAAAACAUGUCAAGAUACAAACUCCCAGGUCAAACCCUGAACUUACAAAGUCAGCGGUUCCAGCCUGGGCCUGGGCCUGGCAUCUAUAGUUGUAAAGAGCUUCUGAUUGUGUGUUCAGGCAAGCUUGGGAAACACUGAGGUAAUCACCACGAAAUCCUUUAGUGUUUCAAGGUACCAAGCUCUGAGCACUCAAAGGUGCAUUUAGCACUGCUAUUAUUUCAGACUAGGAUUACCAGCUUUAACAAAUGAAAACACAGGAUGUGCAGUUAAAUGUGAAUUUCAGAUAAACAAGGAAUGAUUUUUUUUUAGUAUAAGUAUAUCCCAUGUAAUAUUUCAAGUAUACUUAUACUAAAAAAUUAUUUUGAUCUGGCAACUCUGUCAGAUGCUAUGUGUCUCAUUAUUGUGUAAUCUGGAAAAGCAUAAGAAACAUCUAACGGUUAGCAAAAGAUAGCAUGUCAGUAAUAGAAGAGUGUCCAUUUCACAUUCCAGUCUCUAAACCUCUCAGUCUUUUACCCAGCUCUCCUGCUUGCCAGCAAGAGGGUGCCCUGGUCUCUGGCUCUUCAUCAUUUUGAAGAGAGAGAGAGAGAGAGAGAGAGAGAGAGAGA